AACUAUACAGUGGCAGUAUCGUAGCCAAUGAGGUUUAUCCGAGGCGUGAUUAUUGCUAAUUGAAAACUUUUCCUAAUUAUACAUCUUUUAAAGAUACAUAGAGAAUUAUCUAAGCAAUCCCAGUAAUUUAAAAAAAAAGAUU